GUGGGGAAUCUUAGACAAUGGGCGCAAGCCUGAUCUAGCCAUGCCGCGUGAGUGAUGAAGGCCCUAGGGUUGUAAAGCUCUUUCAGCUGGGAAGAUAAUGACGGUACCAGCAGAAGAAGCCCCGGCUAACUCCGUGCCAGCAGCCGCGGUAAUACGGAGGGGGCUAGCGUUGUUCGGAAUUACUGGGCGUAAAGCGCGCGUAGGCGGACUGAAAAGUUGGGGGUGAAAUCCCGGGGCUCAACCUCGGAACUGCCUUCAAAACUAUCAGUCUGGAGUUCGAGAGAGGUGGGUGGAAUUCCGAGUGUAGAGGUGAAAUUCGUAGAUAUUCGGAGGAACACCAGUGGCGAAGGCGGCUCACUGGCUCGAUACUGACGCUGAGGUGCGAAAGCGUGGGGAGCAAACAGGAUUAGAUACCCUUGUAGUC
rnacentral:rRNA from 1 species